CGCGCCUCCUCCACCUCCUCCUCCCUGCCGGGGUGAAACUCGAGCGCCCCACCCGCGCCUGACCUCCCCGAGCCCCUCCCCGGGCCCCGCCCCUUCCCGGUACAGGACCCCCACCUUCGCUCCUGGGAGCCCCGCUGCACCCCAGGAGUUCCAUUCCAGCCUCCCCAGUGCGAGUGCGGCCGAGCGCUGACUUUUGGGGGCUCCCUCCCCCGUCUCACUGGGUCCCUCUGCGGCUCCCCCGCCCGCUGUCCCGGCUCAGACGUGGCUGCACCCCGGAGGGGGGCGCCGGCCGAGACCUGAGACGUGGCGCUCCCUCUCUGCCGGCCUCGGCUUCAGUGCUUGAAUUUCAGCCACAUCCCUAAGCUGCCAUCUCAGACCAGAGGAACAGGGAGGGGGGCUUUCUGGAAAGAACAUCACCUGGAAGAAAUCAGGACAUGACUGUGGGCCAUGAGUGACCUUCAAAGGAAAGCCGGGUAUCUGUGGUCUUUAAGAUGUGUUUUGCUGCAAGGAAUAAUGGUGGUGGCUUGAAUCCCAACAUUUCAACUCAAACCAAGAGCAAAAUGAGGACCACUUAUCUAAAUAUUUAAAAUGUAAGUGAAACUAACAAAUUGUUUCAGAAAAGAUGCUCUAUUUUCAUGCCUUGGGAAAACAUACUUUUGAUGUAAGAUGUUUCCACAGGAAGAAAGUGGCAGAAAAGUAUCUGGGAUCUCUCUGAAGAUUUUCUUACAACUGCGUGUAAAUCUACAAUUGUCUCAAAAUGUACCUCAAAAAUUAUGAUUACCAUUAUCUCAAAAGUUAAAAACUGUUACCUUUGUUAAUAACCUCGAAGUACAGGCUUGAGUUUAGACAUUAGAAUUCCUCAGAGUUCUGCUUCAGAACCCGGAGAAAGGACUAUCUGUAGAAUUUUCAGGGCCCAGUGAAAUGAAAAUACGGGGCCCCUGGUUCAAAAGUGAUGAAGCAUUUCAAGAUGUUAACAGCAAGACAUUAAACCAAAUGUGGAGACCAUGUGGACACAAGACCCCGUCUGACCGCACAGGAUGCAUGGUCUCCUUCUAGCAGGUGUCUGGACUUGUGUGGUUUGAACUACUCCCUGGCACCAUCAUCUUGCCCGCCUAUGAGGCAGAAAGAGCGGGAAGGUGUAAGUUGAAAGCUGUCAGAGGUCAAACAUCAAAAAUAGAGACAGAUUCUUGAUGACACACUUGCAUCCUUCAAGUCUUUGUUCAUAAACCGCUGUCUCAAUGACACCUACUUGAUUAUCUGAUUUAAGAUUUCGCCCCCUCUCCUCACAUGCCCAUUACUGAUCUAUAUUUUUUUCCAGAGCAUGUAUCACCUUCUAACAAAAUGCAUACUUUAUUUUAUUGUGAUUAUUGUUGAUCUCCUCUCACUACUAAGUUAACACCAUAAGGACAGAGAUUUUUGUCUUUUUUGUACUGAAAACCAUGCCGAGCCCAUAUUUAGUGCCCAAUAAUAUAUCAAAUAAAUGUAUGGUUGGGGAAACUUAGGGUCUAAUAAAUCAGCCUUAAUGUGAGUGUUCCGUGGAAAAAAUUCCCCAACUACAGAAUAUCUGUCUCCUCUUGAAUGUGACUCCCAAAUGACACAGUGGCACACUCUUGUUUCCUCUUUAAGAUGCAAACAUUACAAAGGCUUCACAUCAUUCAACUCUAGGGUUGAGUUUGCCUUUUAUUGCUUUUGGACAUAAGACCACAGACCAAAGCAAGAAUAGUGGAGAUGUCGCCUUUAAAAUAUAAAACUGAAAACAGCAAAAGUUAGAGAGUGACUGAUAGGAGAAUAGGCAACAUUUUAAAGUUGAUUUUACAAAGGCAGUCAUCAGACAGCACUGUGUCAUUUUAACUCAAGAUUCUCAAGUGGCUCUCAUGCUGAUUGUUAAAGCAGGAGAAUGAUUGGCCCUAAGAUGAUGUACUCCUCCCAGGAAUCUGAAAUUCAUAGAUCAUCUGGAAGGACCAGAGUGCUUGUGGAGUGAUGGGGGAUGGGGUAGAUUAUUAUGAGAAAGAAGAGGGCUCCUCAAAGGAAAAAUGCAAAAAGGAGACUGUAAGACAGAGGCAUCAAAAGCAGAUUUCAUCACUUCCCCAGGGCUCCUGAGUGCGAGAGGGAAUUGUCUGAGUCUAAUUAAGAAGCAUGGACUUUGGAUCUUAUUGCAGGUUAUGGAUAAAAUCAGUCUCAUAUCAAGUCAUCUUGCUUCUGGUGCCUGUGUUUAUUAAGCUUCAGGAAUAGAGGAAAAGCCAAAAGCCUCCUUCCAGGAGCCCUGCCUUUUGUGUUAUCUCUGCUCUUUAUGAUCAACGUGAGGAAGCUCUACCUACACCUCCACAGCACUUAACCGUGUCUCUUUGAUUAGUUGGGUUCCAAACCAACAUUGUGUGUCACUUUUGGGCCUUCUCAUGGCUGCCUGCUGGAGUAAGAUAAUAAAGUAAAAAGAAGUUGGACAAAAGAAAAGAAAAAAAAUAAAAAGUUUACCUGUUUUAGUCCUACACUUUCCAGUACUCCAUGGAAAAUUCCAUCUCUCCAUUUGAUGGUCUCGAUUCUAGAAUUCAAAUGUUGCCCCAUCACUUUUCCCCAGCUUGCCCCCCACUCUGUGGAUGUGGGAUGUGGCUGAAUCUCAAUUAUUACACAAAAUGGAAAUGGAGGCACAUCAGAGAUUUAUUGUUUCAACCUUGGGGACUGAAAUGUAUUAAAAUAAAUGGC